rnacentral:rRNA from 1 species
CCCUUAGAUGUCCUGGGCCGCACGCGCGCUACACUGAUGCAUGCAACGAGUUUAUAACCUUGGCCUGAAAGGUCUGGGUAAUCUUUUGAACGUGCAUCGUGAUAGGGAUAGAUUAUUGCAAUUGUUAAUCUUGAACGAGGAAUUCCUAGUAAACGUGAGUCAUCAGCUCGCAUUGAUUACGUCCCUGCCCUUUGUACACACCGCCCGUCGCACCUACCGAUUGAAUGGUUCGGUGAAGAUCUCGGACUUCGAUAUUUAUUCUUUAUUGAGUUUAUAUUGUGGGAAGUUAUCUAAACCUCAUCAUUUAGAGGAAGGUGAAGUCGUAACA